CGGGUGAGUAACGCGUAGGAAUCUGCCUUAUAGUGGGGGACAACGUGGGGAAACCCACGCUAAUACCGCAUACGCCCUACGGGGGAAAGCGGGGGAUCUUCGGACCUCGCGCUAAUAGAUGAGCCUGCGUUAGAUUAGCUUGUUGGUGGGGUAAAGGCCUACCAAGGCGACGACGGGUAGCCGGCCUGAGAGGGCGACCGGCCACACUGGGACUGAGACACGGCCCAGACUCC
rnacentral:rRNA from 1 species